UACGUAGGGUGCAAGCGUUAAUCGGAAUUACUGGGCGUAAAGCGUGCGCAGGCGGUGAUGUAAGACAGUUGUGAAAUCCCCGGGCUCAACCUGGGAACUGCAUCUGUGACUGCAUCGCUGGAGUACGGUAGAGGGGGAUGGAAUUCCGCGUGUAGCAGUGAAAUGCGUAGAUAUGCGGAGGAACACCGAUGGCGAAGGCAAUCCCCUGGACCUGUACUAACGCUCAUGCACGAAAGCGUGGGGAGCAAACAGG
rnacentral:rRNA from 1 species